UGGAUUAAAUAAUUUAUUUAUCAUUUGUUACACCAUGAAAGGCCAGUAUAAAUUGUAAAGGAUUAUUAAAUUGGAUUCCAUAAGAAGUUGCAGAUUCCAGCAUCCUAAGCCGAGUGAAUAUUGAAGGCUAAUGGCCCCCUGUUACUACGUGGAAGAAGAGUAGAAAAAAGAGAAUAAAGAAAGAAAAAGAAGAAAAUACUUUCGUCUAUAGCUGUAGCAUCUUGAAGAAUUUUAUCUCCAAGUGGAAAGAAGAGUCCCAGCAGCACCUUUCAGAAGAAACAUAUGUCUACUGUUGUGUAUAUAUGUACUUUACAUUGUACAUACAUAUAUAUAUACUCUAUUUUAUGCGAGCAAGGGUAUACAUUGCACCUACGUGGAUAAAAAAAGAGAACACACGUGGCAACCUUUGUCUACCGUCAAAGCAUAUCGAUUGCAAGUUGUAUCCCAUGGAAGCCCUUUACAAUGCCGACAUCAACAACUACAUCACCUGAAAGCACAAAUUUUAAAUUUAAUUCAACGCAUUGUCUAAAAUAUCUGAUUGUUUGUUCAUUCUAUUUGAUAAACUAAUUUAAUAGUUUCGUAUGUGUACUCAUAAUG
rnacentral:lncRNA from 1 species